GACGAACGCUGGCGGCGUGCCUAAUACAUGCAAGUAGAACGCUGAAGGAGGAGCUUGCUUCUCUGGAUGAGUUGCGAACGGGUGAGUAACGCGUAGGUAACCUGCCUGUUAGCGGGGGAUAACUAUUGGAAACGAUAGCUAAUACCGCAUAAUAGUAGAUGUUGCAUGACAUUUGCUUAAAAGGUGCAAUUGCAUCCCUACCAGAUGGACCUUCGUUGUAUUAGCUAGUUGGUGGGGUAACGGCUCACCAAGGCGACGAUACAUAGCCGACCUGAGAGGGUGAUCGGCCCCACUGGGAAUGAGACACAGCCCAGACUCCUACGGGAGGCAGCAGUAGGGAAUCUUCGGCAAUGGACGGAAGGCUGACCGAGCAACGCCGCGUGAGUGAAGAAGGGUUUCGGAUCGUAAAGCUCUGUUGUAAGAGAAGAACGAGUGUGAGAGUGGAAAGUUCACACUGUGACGGUAUCUUACCAGAAAGGGACGGCUAACUACGUG
rnacentral:rRNA from 1 species